CCUACGGGUGGCAGCAGUGGGGAAUAUUGGGCAAUGGGCGCAAGCCUGACCCAGCAACGCCGCGUGAAGGAAGAAGGCUUUCGGGUCGUAAACUUCUUUUGACAGGGAAGAGUAGAAGACGGUACCUGUCGAAUAAGCCACGGCUAACUACGUGCCAGCAGCCGCGGUAAUACGGAGGAUGCGAGCGUUAUCCGGUUUUAUUGGGUUUAAAGGGUGCGUAGGCGGAAUGCCACGUCAGCGGUAAAAUCGCGGGGCUCAACCUGGCUCCGCCGUUGAAACUGGCGUUCUUGAGUGGGCGAGGAGUAUGCGGAAUGCGUGGUGUAGCGGUGAAAUGCGUAGAUAUCACGCAGAACACCGAUUGCGAAGGCAGCAUACCGGCGCCCAACUGACGCUGAGGCACGAAAGCGUGGGUAUCGAACAGGAUUAGAUACCCCGGUAGUC
rnacentral:rRNA from 1 species